GCGGAGCCUGCGGUGGGUCCCGGUUGUACCCGGCGUUCAGGGACGAGCUGGAAGCCGCCGCCACGCCGGUCACCGGCCCGAGACUUCUCCUUGGAGGCGCCGGAGACGGCAGGAUGGCCCUUGUGCCAUGAUAGUUUGAACAUGUGAGAAAAAGUUGUGCUCUCUAGAGGCUGCUGGGGCUGAUGUUACCAUCGACCUUCAACAGGAAGUUCUCAUUGACCCCUGGAAAAGAGUGAUUGUAGCCUCUGCACAUUGAACUCCCUACACCUCCUUGAAAAGAACAGAGAGGAGCCUACCCCCACGUUAACGUCCAAAAUGAUGGAGAUUGUGGAGCAAGCACUGAAGUCUCCUUAGGGUGGAUGACAGAGAGACUGGAACAGUUCACCCCUGCCACUCAGAGGACUUAUCCACGCUUUAAGAAGGUCCAGACCCAGCUGGGAAGGAGCCAGCUCUCUCCAGAUGUUAAGCUGGAGCUGGUGGUGCACCUGGUCAGUGCACACAGGACCCUGCACAAGGACCCACGCUCGAGCCCCUGAUGUUCACCUGCAGGGAGGACGCUUCAGGAGUGAUGAGAAAGGUACCAUUUGAGAAAAAUAAUAUAUGAAUUUCAAAGAAGGUGAUGGAGAAGAAAGAUAAUGGGAGAGAGACCUUUUACUGUCAGGAUCAGCCCUGUUCAUGGACAGCAUGUCUUAUGCUUAUGCAGCAAAGGGUUAUCGCUGUGGCUUUGUGCCUGCAUAACUCCACCAGUCCUAGCCACCCUCCUCUGUUUUGAUUGAGAGUGAGACACAGAAAGAGAAACAGCUGCUUCACUGCUUGGAA